GCCUCCGUAGCUCAGGGGAUAGAGCAUCGGCCUCCGGAGCCGUGUGCGCAGGUUCGAAUCCUGCCGGGGGCA
rnacentral:tRNA from 1 species